rnacentral:rRNA from 1 species
GUGAGGAAUUUUCCGCAAUGGGCGAAAGCCUGACGGAGCAAUGCUGCGUGAAGGAUGAAGGCCUAUGGGUUGUAAACUUCUUUUCUCAGAAAAGAAUUAUGACGGUAUCUGAGGAAUAAGCAUCGGCUAACUCUGUGCCAGCAGCCGCGGUAAGACAGAGGAUGCAAGCGUUAUCCGGAAUGAUUGGGCGUAAAGCGUCUGUAGGUUGUUUAAAAAGUAUUCUGUCAAAGAUUAGGGCUUAACCCUAGAGAGGCAGAAUAAACUUUUAAGCUAGAGUUUGGUAGAGGCAGAGGGAAUUCCCGGUGGAGCGGUGAAAUGCGUAGAGAUCGGGAGGAACACCAAAGGCGAAGGCACUCUGCUGGGCCAAUACUAACACUGAGAGACGAAAGCGAGGGGAGCAAAUGGGAUUAGAUACCCUAGUAGUCC